AAAGAAACCAACAGGGAUUGCCCCAGUAACGGCGAGUGAAGCGGCAACAGCUCAAAUUUGAAAUCUGGCCCUAGGCCCGAGUUGUAAUUUGCAGAGGAUGCUUUGGGCGCGGUGCCUUCCGAGUUCCCUGGAACGGGACGCCAUAGAGGGUGAGAGCCCCGUCUGGUCGGACACCAAGCCUAUGUAAAGCUCCUUCGACGAGUCGAGUAGUUUGGGAAUGCUGCUCAAAAUGGGAGGUAUAUGUCUUCUAAAGCUAAAUACCGGCCAGAGACCGAUAGCGCACAAGUAGAGUGAUCGAAAGAUGAAAAGCACUUUGAAAAGAGAGUUAAACAGCACGUGAAAUUGUUGAAAGGGAAGCGUUCAUGACCAGACUUGGCCCGGUUGAUCAUCCAGCGUUCUCGCUGGUGCACUCUGCCGGUCCAGGCCAGCAUCAGUUCGUCGCGGGGGAUAAAGGUUUCGGGAAUGUGGCUCCUCCGGGAGUGUUAUAGCCCGUUGCGUAAUACCCUGCGGUGGACUGAGGUCCGCGCUCUGCAAGGAUGCUGGCGUAAUGGUCAUCAACGACCCGUCUUGAAACACGGACCAAGGAGUCGUCUUCGUAUGCGAGUGUUCGGGUGUAAAACCCCUACGCGUAAUGAAAGUGAACGGAGGUGGGAGCUUCGGCGCACCAUCGACCGAUCCUGAUGUUCUCGGAUGGAUUUGAGUAAGAGCAUACGGGGCCGGACCCGAAAGAAGGUGAACUAUGCCUGUAUAGGGUGAAGCCAGAGGAAACUCUGGUGGAGGCUCGCAGCGGUUCUGACGUGCAAAUCGAUCGUCAAAUAUGGGCAUGGGGGCGAAAGACUAAUCGAACCUUCUAGUAGCUGGUUUCCGCCGAAGUUUCCCUCAGGAUAGCAGUGUUGAACUCAGUUUUAUGAGGUAAAGCGAAUGAUUAGGGACCCGGGGGCGCUAUAUUGCCUUCAUCCAUUCUCAAACUUUAAAUAUGUAAGAAGCCCUUGUUGCUUAAUUGAACGUGGGCAUUCGAAUGUAUCAAC
rnacentral:rRNA from 1 species